ACUGCACCUCAGUUGAAGACUACAGAUAAAGUAUGUAGAGAAGUUGAAAGAAAUUACCAGAGAAAAAAAAGUUAUAGCUCUCCCUUCUUAGAAAGAGGCUUAUUAUUAACUACAACAUCCCCAGUGGGUGAUAGGGUGUUAUAAGUAAUCUUGAAAAUAUCUGAAGAUCAUAGAGAGCAGACAUGUGAUGCCCCAUAGUGGACAGCAGAAAGAAACUAUUUGUGCAGAGCAAGCCCAGCACUAAGAAACAGAACGAUAUCAUCAGAAGACACAGAUAGCUCUGUCAGGCCAGAAGGGUAUCAGUUCGUGUCAUUUUGAUGGAACAAAAGGCUAGCCGAUGAAGGUCCAGUCCUGGGAGCAUGUACAUAUGGGCCAGUAGGUUUCUUCACAGCUUGGAGAAGGCUCUGCAAGGCUGUGUCUUUGCUGCUGCUACAGAAGUAGGUGGAUGAGUCCUCUG